rnacentral:lncRNA from 1 species
AAAUGUGGCAAGAUCUCUAAGGAGAAGGCAGAGCUGUCGGGUGGAGGUGAUGUCACAGACGUCUGAAAAUCUGCCAGAGCAUGAGCUAACUUAUAGCUGCGGGCUCAGGACAUGUUUCUGAGCAGAAGUUUCUGAACUAAGUUGGCAACUAACAGACCACAUAAAUUCCCUUAAAUGGGAUUACUGAUGGGAUUCCUUCUGAUUCAGUAAAACACCUGCCCAAAAUGAGCUGUCAUCAAUGGAUCCAUCAAAGGAAUGAUGCACUGAGCCCUUCCCAAGUGUUCGUGCAAUUGGGGAUGAAGAGGCAAAGAUAACCAGACCCUGCCUGCAAGGGCUUAUGAGAAUAUGCCUGUUGAGGCAGCGACCCUGCAUGACAAACCAAAGAAAACCCAAAAAACUUCUGUAACCAAGUGCUCUUUGCCUAGAUUCUCAGCUGCCACCACCCCUGGGGUGUCGCCAUGUCUAGAGACCCGAGUGAAUAUCUGAAAAGAAAAAAAGAAGAGUAGUUGUUGAAAGAACACAGCUAUAAAAGAUUUAUGUGGCCACUGGGGUGUCAUCAGAAUUCUCUUUUCAUAUCCUUUGCCAGUUAAGAUUUUCAAAUCACAUUCUGUAUCAUUGUUCCCCUGGUAUGAAAAGGGUGAAGGUCUUUGUCCUGGUUUUACUGGUGAUUUAGAGCACUGGGAUUCCCAAUCCCAGCUUCCCAGCAGCAACUAUGCUUGGCUUUCCCGUACUGUGAGGGGGUUGUCCAGCGGGCAGAAAACCCGAACAGUGGAGGACUCUAACGAAAGCCACACCAGAGCCUCCCUUGCUCCUUCUAGUUCUCCAACAGGGGAAAUGUCCCAAGCCUUCCUAGUGGAAUGUGACUGUGUCACCUACCUUCCCAAAAGUGGCCAGCAAAAUGAGAAAUGCUGUUAGUCAACUUUCAAUGUCCUCUCUGCCCAGUGCUUUGAUUCCAACAGCCUGUAAAUGCUGUUUCUACACUGGAUUAGUCCUUCAACCCCACCGCACACGCUGUCUGCUGUACUCAAUUUCAUCAAUCCGCAUUACCUAGAGGCCAAGCAGACACCAUCGUCCUCCCUUGCGGGUGAGAGGGUGAUGGAGGGACCCUCAGGAGCCCAGCAGGAACAAUGUCUAUCUCCGCAGGCUUUGCAGAGAUCCUGGAAUAUGAUAAUAUGGCGGGCAGAGGCAGGUGGGAGAGGCAUGUGUAGAUCGGGCUCGAGGAAUGGAUCUGGUUAGGAAAAAAGGGAUCAACAGAGCAAACGAAGCACUCCAGUGUGUAGACAGCUGCAACUAAGGGAUGAAUGAAUCAAUAAAAGCCUGUAGGAAUGUAAUAUAAUCCAGAAAAACACAGCUACCCCUUUCUCUGCCAUUAGACAAGCUGAUUCUCAUUUACAUGAGAGCAACAAACAAGAAAGACUGGACAGAAAAGCUGUGAAAAAAUACAAUGAGAAGGAAAACUUCCCUGCAAAUAGAACAGACUACAAAGCCUUCAUAAUUAAAACAGUGAGGAAAUGGCCAAGUGUCCUCCAAAAAUCCAGAAAGAGACCCAGAGACAUACGGAAAUGUAUCUGGUGUCUCAUUUCAGAGGAGGUAAAUGUUAACAUUUUAAAUACAUGGUGCUAGGACAAACGGAUAACCAUCAAAAAGACAGAGCUGGAUCCAUACCUCACACUGUACAUGAGGAUAAAUUCCAAAUGGAUUGAAAUUUAAACAUGACAAAUUAAAUUUUAACAGUGUAGGAAGAAAACAUGAACAAAUUUAUUUGGAACUUUGGUGU